GAUGAAGAACGUAGCGAAAUGCGAUAAGUAAUGCGAAUUGCAGAAUUCCGUGAGUCAUCGAAUCUUUGAACGCACAUUGCGCCCUCUGGUAUUCCGGAGGGCAUGCCUGUCUGAGCGUCAUUGUCAACCCUCAAGCUCAGCUUGCUGUUGGGUCCCCGUCGUUGCUUUAACGGCGGACCCGAAAGGUAAUGGCAGAGUCCGUGAGACCCUAGACGCAGCGAGCUUCUAGCACGCGUCUGGACGUUUUUCGGCCUCGGUCUUAACUAGAUGAUAACUUCCGAUUGACCUCAGAUCAGGUAGGGAUACCCGCUGAACUUAAGCAUAUCAAUAAGCGGAGGA
rnacentral:misc_RNA from 1 species